GACGAACGCUGGCGGCGUGCUUAACACAUGCAAGUCGAACGGAAAGGCCUGCUUUCCCUUGUGGAUUGCGGGUACUCGAGUGGCGAACGGGUGAGUAACACGUGAGUGAUCUGCCCCCAACUUGGGUAUAAGCCUGGGAAACUGGGUCUAAUUCCCGAUAGGACUGCAGGGUGGUGCCUGUGGUGGAAAACGAUUUUCUAGUGGUUGGGGAUGAGCUCGCGGCCUAUCAGCUUGUUGGUGGGGUAAUGGCCUACCAAGGCGGCGACGGGUAGCCGGACGGGGAGGGUGGACGGUCGCAUUGGGACUGAGAUACGGCCCAGACGGCUACGGGAGGCAGGAGUGGGGAAGAAUGCACAAGGGGCGGAAGGCUGAUGCGGCGACGGCGUGUGGGGGAUGACGGGCUUCGGGUUGUAAACUACUUGCGACCGCGAGGAAGCCACCUGGUUGGAAGGGUGGUGACGGUAGUGGUAGAAGAAGCACCGGCUAACUACGUG
rnacentral:rRNA from 1 species